rnacentral:ncRNA from 1 species
AAAGCACGUGCGAGUCAGUGUUUUGCAAGAAAGCUGCCUUGGCGCAGUGAAGGUGAAGGCCAGCACACUCACUGGCUGAGAUGGGAUCCCGAGGCCUCUCCGAUUCCCUGAGGGCGCACCACUGGCCCAUCUCACCCAGGGCAGUGCCCCGGAGGUGGAGCACCAGGGCACUUGUUAGGAUCUGAAAGAUAGUGAACUGUGCCUGGUCAGGGCAAAGCUGGAGGAAACUAGUGGAAGUCCCUAGCGUCUGACGUGUAAUCAUCGGUCAUUAGACCUGGGUAUAUAUGGGUGAAAGACUGAUGGAAUCAUCUAGUAGCUAG